rnacentral:misc_RNA from 1 species
UUUCCGUAGGUGAACCUGCGGAAGGAUCAUUAUUGAAUAAACUUGGUUGGGUUGUUGCUGGCUCCUCGGAGCAUGUGCACGCUCGCUCCAUUUUUAACCACCUGUGCACCUUGUGUAGAUCUGAACAACUCUCGGGGAAACUCGGUCAGAGGAUUGCUGUGUGUAAAAGCCAGCUUUUCUUGGGUUCAGAUCUAUGUCUCUAUAUACACCAUAAGAAUGUAUUGGAAUGUAAUUGACGGGCGUUACAGCCUUUAAAAAUCAAAUACAACUUUCAACAACGGAUCUCUUGGCUCUC